ACCCAGCUAGCUUAGUUGGUAAAGCAUGAGAUUCUUAAUCUCAGGGUCAUGGGUUCAAGCCCCAUGUUGAGUG